rnacentral:ribozyme from 13 species
GUGAAAAAAAAAAAAAAAAAAAAAAAAAAAAAAAAAAAAAAAAA